AUUAUCAAUUAGCUCAGUUGGGAAGGUGUGGUGCUUAUUUGGAACAAACCCCUGCAAUACCUGUGGCUCUGCAGGAACAGGGUUACUGUCUCCUGAAAUACUGAGAAAUGAAAGAGACCUGACUCACAACGACAACCAACGAAAUGAGCAGAACCAAGAUACUGAUGCACUGAAUUAUGCUGCCCUUAAUUUCACCUCCAAGAAAAAGAAGAGGGAGAGAAGGAGCUGGACCCCCAUGUAGUGUAUGCUGCUACAAGAUGACAAAGUGGAGGGUGGAGAGGAGGACAAGUGGUUUGCCAUGUCUUUGAAUACAUGUUUAAAUCUUCCUAUAUUGUAUUUGUAGUUAAAUCAAAUGUAUUGAAAUGUUAAUAAACUAAGGGCCACUGUAACCCUGUUCCUCUCUUAGGCCACACAGCUCAGUGGUGCAGGGGUGGUUAGAGGGGGAGUUGGACUCAAACCACAACUGAUUAAUGGCCACAGAGUAGUAGUUGCCUCUUGGUCUCUCUUAGCUUUGUUCUCUUGUGUUGUGUUAGUGAAUUGGUUAUUAUUUAAUAAGCUGGCCAUAAAGGACAAAGUACCUAGCAUAGGACAAUUGUAUUACAUUGAUUACUUAAUAAAAAGUUUUAUCAAAAC
ensembl:lncRNA